rnacentral:siRNA from 1 species
CGGAAUUGUAUGUCUAUGGU